rnacentral:rRNA from 1 species
GCUAGCGUUGUUCGGAAUUACUGGGCGUAAAGCGCACGUAGGCGGGUCGUUAAGUCAGGGGUGAAAUCCCAGAGCUCAACUCUGGAACUGCCUUUGAUACUGGCGACCUUGAGGCCGGAAGAGGUUAGUGGAAUUCCCAGUGUAGAGGUGAAAUUCGUAGAUAUUGGGAAGAACACCAGUGGCGAAGGCGGCUAACUGGUCCGGAUCUGACGCUGAGGUGCGAAAGCGUGGGGAGCAAACAGG